rnacentral:rRNA from 1 species
GGAAUAUUGCACAAUGGGCGCAAGCCUGAUGCAGCCAUGCCGCGUGUAUGAAGAAGGCCUUCGGGUUGUAAAGUACUUUCAGCGGGGAGGAAGGCGGUGAGGUUAAUAAGCUCGCCGAUUGACGGUACCCGCAGAAGAAGCCCCGGAUAACUCCGUGCCAGCAGCCGCGGUAAUACGGAGGGUGCAAGCGUUAAUCGGAAUUACUUGGCGUAAAGCGCACGCAGGCGGUCUGUUAAGUCAGAUGUGAAAUCCCCGGGCUUAAACUGGGAACUGCAUUUGAAACUGGCAGGCUUGAGUCUUGUAGAGGGGGGUAGAAUUCCAGGUGUAGCGGUGAAAUGCGUAGAGAUCUGGAGGAAUACCGGUGGCGAAGGCGGCCCCCUGGACAAAGACUGACGCUCAGGUGCGAAAGCGUGGGGAGCA